rnacentral:rRNA from 1 species
ACCAGAAGCAGGUAGCUUAACCUUCGGGAGGGCGCUUGCCACGGUGUGGCCGAUGACUGGGGUGAAGUCGUAACAAGGUAGCCGUAUCGGAAGGUGCGGCUGGAUCACCUCCUUU